AGCGAACGCUGGCGGCAGGCCUAACACAUGCCAGUCGAACGAACCUUUCGGGGUUAGUGGCGGACGGGUGAGUAACACGUGGGAACGUGCCUUUAGGUUCGGAAUAACUCAGGGAAACUUGUGCUAAUACCGAAUGUGCCCUUCGGGGGAAAGAUUAAUCGCCUUUAGAGCGGCCCGCGUCUGAUUAGCUAGUUGGUUGAGGUAAUGGCUCACCAAGGCGACGAUCAGUAGCUGGUCUGAGAGGAUGAUCAGCCACAUUGGGACUGAGACACGGCCCAAACUCCUACGGGAGGCAGCAGUGGGGAAUCUUGCGCAAUGGGCGAAAGCCUGACGCAGCCAUGCCGCGUGAAUGAUGAAGGUCUUAGGAUUGUAAAAUUCUUUCACCGGGGACGAUAAUGACGGUACCCGGAGAAGAAGUCCCGGCUAACUUCGUG
rnacentral:rRNA from 1 species